AAAACACCACUAAUAAUCAGCGAAUAUACAGUGAGAUAAU
rnacentral:guide_RNA from 1 species